AGUAAACGCCGUAGGAACCAUCGCACAGUGGGGACAACGCUGGGAAACCGGCGCUAAUACCGCAUGUGGUCAGAGAUGACGAAAGCAGCAAUGCGCUGUGUGAGGGGCCUGCGUCCGAUUAGCUUGUUGGUGGGGUAAAGGCCUACCAAGGCGACGAUCGGUAGCUGGUCUGAGAGGAUGGUCAGCCACACUGGGACUGAGAUACGGCCCAG
rnacentral:rRNA from 1 species